rnacentral:rRNA from 1 species
GACGAACGCUGGCGGCGUGCUUAACACAUGCAAGUCGUACGGUAAGGCCCUUUCGGGGGUACACGAGUGGCGAACGGGUGAGUAACACGUGAGUAACCUGCCCACAACUUUGGGAUAACGCUAGGAAACUGGUGCUAAUACUGGAUAUGUGCUCCUGCUGCAUGGUGGGGGUUGGAAAGCUCCGGCGGUUGUGGAUGGACUCGCGGCCUAUCAGCUUGUUGGUGGGGUAGUGGCCUACCAAGGCGGCGACGGGUAGCCGGCCUGAGAGGGUGACCGGCCACAUUGGGACUGAGAUACGGCCCAGACUCCUACGGGAGGCAGCAGUGGGGAAUAUUGCACAAUGGGCGCAAGCCUGAUGCAGCAACGCCGCGUGCGGGAUGACGGCCUUCGGGUUGGAAACCGCUUUCAGCAGGGACGAAGCUUUUUGUGACGGUACCUGCAGAAGAAGCACCGGCCAACUACGUG